rnacentral:rRNA from 1 species
CCAUGAAUCUGGUCACGGGACAUUGUUAGGUGGGCAGUUUGACUGGGGCGGUCGCCUCCUAAAAAGUAACGGAGGCGCCCAAAAGUUCCCUCAGCGCGGUCGGAAAUCGCGCGAAGAGGGCAAAGGCAGAAGGGAGCUUGACUGCGACACAUACAGGUGGAGCAGGGACGAAAGUCGGGCUUAGUGAUCCGGUGGUACCUCGUGGGAGGGCCAUCGCUCAACGGAUAAAAGCUACCUCGGGGAUAA